UACAGAGGUCCCAAGCGUUGUUCGGAUUCACUGGGCGUAAAGGGUGCGUAGGCGGUCGGGUAAGUCUGAUGUGAAAUCUUCAAGCUUAACUUGGAAACUGCAUCGGAUACUAUUCGGCUAGAGGAAUGGAGGGGAGACUGGAAUACUUGGUGUAGCAGUGAAAUGCGUAGAUAUCAGGAGGAACACCUAUUGCGAAGGCAGCUCGCUGGGACGUUACUGACGCUGAGACGCGAAAGCGUGGGGAGCAAACAGG
rnacentral:rRNA from 1 species